CUACGGGUUGCUGCAGUAAGGAAUAUUGCACAAUGGGGGAAACCCUGAUGCAGCAACGCCGCGUGGACGAAGAAGGCCUUCGGGUCGUAAAGUCCUUUUCUGAGGGAAGAGGAAGGACGGUACCUCAGGAAUAAGUCUCGGCUAACUACGUGCCAGCAGCCGCGGUAAAACGUAGGAGGCGAGCGUUAUCCGGAUUCACUGGGCGUAAAGGGCAAGUAGGCGGUUGUUUAAGUUAGGUGUGACAUCUCUCGGCUUAACUGGGAGGGAGCGCUUAAAACUAGGCAACUAGAGGGCGGAAGAAGGGGGUAGAACUCCAAAUGCAGUGGUGGAAUGCUCAGAUAUUUGGAAGAAUACCAGUGGCGAAGGCGACCCCCCGGUCCGUGCCUGACGCUGAGAGGCGAAAGCUAGGGUAGCGAACGGGAUUAGAUACCCUAGUAGUC
rnacentral:rRNA from 1 species